rnacentral:rRNA from 1 species
AGAGUUUGAUCCUGGCUCAGGAUGAACGCUGGCGGCAUGCCUAAUACAUGCAAGUCGAACGGAGCGAAUAUGGAAGCUUGCUUCCGUAAGAGCUCAGUGGCGAACGGGUGAGUAACACGUAGGUAACCUGCCCAUGUGCCCGGGAUAACUGCUGGAAACGGUAGCUAAAACCGGAUAGGUGAAUAGGAGGCAUCUCGUAUUCAUUAAAGGACCUGCAAAGGUGCGAACAUGGAUGGACCUGCGGCGCAUUAGCUGGUUGGAGUGGUAACGGCACACCAAGGCGACGAUGCGUAGCCGACCUGAGAGGGUGAACGGCCACAUUGGGACUGAGACACGGCCCAAACUCCUACGGGAGGCAGCAGUAGGGAAUUUUCGUCAAUGGGGGGAACCCUGAACGAGCAAUGCCGCGUGAGUGAAGAAGGUCUUCGGAUCGUAAAGCUCUGUUGUAAGUGAAGAACGGUCAGUAGAGGAAAUGAUACUGAAGUGACGGUAGCUUACCAGAAAGCCACGGCUAACUACGUGCCAGCAGCCGCGGUAAUACGUAGGUGGCGAGCGUUAUCCGGAAUCAUUGGGCGUAAAGGGUGCGCAGGUGGUACAUUAAGUCCGAAGUAAAAGGCAGCAGCUCAACUGCUGUUGGCUUUGGAAACUGGUGAACUGGAGUGCAGGAGAGGGCGAUGGAAUUCCAUGUGUAGCGGUAAAAUGCGUAGAUAUAUGGAGGAACACCAGUGGCGAAGGCGGUCGCCUGGCCUGCAACUGACACUGAGGCACGAAAGCGUGGGGAGCAAAUAGGAUUAGAUACCCUAGUAGUCCACGCCGUAAACGAUGAGAACUAAGUGUUGGGGAGACUCAGUGCUGCAGUUAACGCAAUAAGUUCUCCGCCUGGGGAGUAUGCACGCAAGUGUGAAACUCAAAGGAAUUGACGGGGGCCCGCACAAGCGGUGGAGUAUGUGGUUUAAUU